rnacentral:rRNA from 1 species
UGGCGGACGGGUGAGUAACGCGUGGAAAACCUGCCGUAUACUGGGGGGAUAACACUUAGAAAUAGGUGCUAAUACCGCAUAAGCGCACAGCUUCGCAUGAAGCGGUGUGAAAAACUCUGGUGGUAUACGAUGGUUCCGCGUCUGAUUAGCUAGUUGGUGGGGUAAUGGCCUACCAAGGCAACGAUCAGUAGCCGGCCUGAGAGGGUGAACGGCCACAUUGGGACUGAGACACGGCCAAACUCCUACGGAAGGCAGCAG